rnacentral:lncRNA from 1 species
CACACCUGGAAGCCAGAAAGACCAGCGUUCAUCCACACAGGCAGUGUUUCCUCAUUCUGCUCACACUUGUGGGACCAAAUUUAGAAACUUAAUGAAGAAUAGGGUCCUAGUCGCCAAAUUGGUAGGACCCCCUGGUUCCUUCCUUCCCAUUAUUUCUUCCAGUCUCCAGUUGCCUUAGAGCUCUUCAUAUAAUACACCACAAGGACCAUUUGACUGUCCCCUCUGGCUUCUGCAUCUUGCUUCCAGCAUGAACAGACAGAUGGCCCUUGCCUUGGUUUACAGUUCUAGAAGCUGCUUGAAAGCAAGAGCUAUUGCCAGGCCAGAGAUAAUGUCUGAAUCAGGCACAUAGAAGUGAAAUGAGGAAUUGUGAGAGACAAAUUGGAGGUGAAGAUUCAUGUAUUGCUUGGACACUUUAGAGUAUUCUUUUGUCAUCCAUAUGAGUAACAAGGACCUACAGGAAUCAGCUGCUGAUACGGCCUUGUGUGUUCUGCAUUCUCCUCAAAAGCCAGGUAGGGAAAUAUAUUCAAGACAAGCUGGUGGAAAGGUUCAUCUUUCCUCUGUGUAUCAGAAACGACAGAUUUGGUGACCUUCCACCAAUUUGGUGAGAGUGAAGGCAAAUUCAACGACAGACUUUACAUCAUUAAUGAAGUCAGCAUGAACUUGACAAGUACUUUGAAAAAUGUUUAAUUCAAUGAUAAAGAGCCUGCCCAAGAGUUUAAAAUACAAUAAAAACAAGAACGUACAUCAAUUGUUGAUCCCAUCUGAUGGCAGUCUGUCCUUGAGCAUAUAGCUAAAAGGAUUUUCUCUGUAUCAAGUGGCACAACUACGGUGGACAUUCUGGAAACCAGGACUCUCAUGUCUUCUGCUAGCAUGUCAAAAACUGUGAAGAGUCUGAAAUUUUACUCUACUUGCAAGCAGUCUCACUCUAUCUCCCAGGCUGGAGUGGAAUGGCGCGAUCUCGGCUCACUGCAACCUCCACCUCCCGGGUUUAAGUGAUUCUUCUGCCUCAGCCUCCCGAGUAGCUGGAACUAGAGGCGCCUGCCACCAUGCCCGGCUAAUUUUUGUAUUUUUAGUAGAUAUGGGGUUUCACCAUAUUGGCCAGGAUGGUCUCGAACUCCUGACUUCGUGAUUUGCCUGCCUCGGCUUCCCAACGUGCUGAGAUUACAGGCAUGAGCCACUGUGCCUGGCCAACUGAAUGUUUUAAAUUAUGCUGUAUCUCUUAAAACACUUAAAAAUAAAAUCUUAUGAAUCACCGAUUUAUUAAUACAAGGCAACUAACAACAAAGAGCCUAGAGAGACUUUAGGUCUCUUUCUUAAAGAAGUUCAUAAUUUAAUAACCUCUCUGGGCUUCAUUUUCUUUAUCUUUAAAGUAAGGACACUGAACUUGACUUUCUCCAAGAUUCCCCAAGGGAGGUUCCAAGGCUUUCUAAUACAGUCAUGUUAUAUGUUAUAUAACCAAGCACUCAGAGCAGUUCCUGGCCAUUUGUGAGGAAGGAGAAUAGGAUCUGGAGGCAGGGAACCUAUGACUGAUUUGCACUAACUUCCUAGAACGAAUCGAAAGGAAAACCCCACCUCUCCACACCAAAGUAACAAAAGGAUCAGAGGCUACUCUUUUUGCACUUCAUCGUAGAGGAAAAAUGAAAAGUACCUCUGAUUGUUUCCUUCCCACAACCAAUCAGACUGGUGGCAGGCCUAGUCUUCAUUUGCAUGUAACUUUGUAACUUUACUUCAUCCUCUGAUUGGUCCCCUCCCACAACCAAUCAGACUGGUCACAGGCUACAUCUUCAUUUACAGAGAGUGUAACCAAGUAACCAAUGGGAAACCUCUAGAGGGUGUUUAAACCCCAGAAAAUUCUGUAACCAGCACUCUUGAGCUGCUUGCUCGAGCCUACUCCCACUCUGUGGAGUGUACUUUUGUUUCAAUAAAUCUAUGCUUUUAUUGCUUCAUC